rnacentral:rRNA from 1 species
GUGUGACUGCGUACCUUUUGUAUAAUGGGUCAGCGACUUAUAUUCUGUAGCAAGGUUAACCGAAUAGGGGAGCCGAAGGGAAACCGAGUCUUAACUGGGCGUUAAGUUGCAGGGUAUAGACCCGAAACCCGGUGAUCUAGCCAUGGGCAGGUUGAAGGUUGGGUAACACUAACUGGAGGACCGAACCGACUAAUGUUGAAAAAUUAGCGGAUGACUUGUGGCUGGGGGUGAAAGGCCAAUCAAACCGGGAGAUAGCUGGUUCUCCCCGAAAGCUAUUUAGGUAGCGCCUCGUGAAUUCAUCUCCGGGGGUAGAGCACUGUUUCGGCAAGGGGGUCAUCCCGACUUACCAACCCGAUGCAAACUGCGAAUACCGGAGAAUGUUAUCACGGGAGACACACGGCGGGUGCUAACGUCCGUCGUGAAGAGGGAAACAACCCAGACCGCCAGCUAAGGUCCCAAAGUCAUGGUUAAGUGGGAAACGAUGUGGGAAGGCCCAGACAGCCAGGAUGUUGGCUUAGAAGCAGCCAUCAUUUAAAGAAAGCGUAAUAGCUCACUGGUCGAGUCGGCCUGCGCGGAAGAUGUAACGGGGCUAAACCAUGCACCGAAGCUGCGGCAGCGACGCUUAUGCGUUGUUGGGUAGGGGAGCGUUCUGUAAGCCUG